rnacentral:tRNA from 1 species
GCCUUCGUGGUGUAGUGGUCAGCACGUUCGACGAGUAUUCGAGAGGGGUUCGAGUCCCGGCGAGGGCA